rnacentral:rRNA from 1 species
UACGUAGGGUGCAAGCGUUAAUCGGAAUUACUGGGCGUAAAGCGUGCGCAGGCGGUUGUGCAAGACAGAUGUGAAAUCCCCGGGCUUAACCUGGGAACUGCAUUUGUGACUGCACGGCUAGAGUGCGGCAGAGGGGGAUGGAAUUCCGCGUGUAGCAGUGAAAUGCGUAGAUAUCGGGAGGAAUACCAGUGGCGAAGGCGGCAUCCUGGACCGGCAUUGACGCUGAGGAGCGAAAGCUAGGGGAGCAAACGGG